rnacentral:rRNA from 1 species
CCUACGGGAGGCAGCAGUGGGGAAUAUUGCACAAUGGGGGAAACCCUGAUGCAGCGACGCCGCGUGAGUGAAGAAGUAUCUCGGUACGUAAAGCUCUAUCAGCAGGGAAGAAAAUGACGGUACCUGACUCAGAAGCCCCGGCUAACUACGUGCCAGCAGCCGCGGUAAUACGGAGGGGGCAAGCGUUAUCCGGAUUUACUGGGUGUAAAGGGAGCGUAGACGGCAGCACAAGUCUGGAGUGAAAGCCCGGGGCUUAACCCCGGAACUGCAUUUGAGACUGGGCGGCUGGAGUGCAGGAGGGGUAAGCGGAAUUCCUAGUGUAGCGGUGAAAUGCGGAGAUAUCAGGAAGAACACCGGUGGCGAAGGCAGCUUACUGGACUGUAACUGACGUUGAGGCUCGAAAGCGUGGGGAGCAAACAGGAUUAGAUACCCUGGUAGUC